UUCAUGGAGAGUUUGAUCCUGGCUCAGGACGAACGCUGGCGGCGUGCCUAAUACAUGCAAGUCGAGCGGACCGACGGGAGCUUGCUCCCUUAGGUUAGCGGCGGACGGGUGAGUAACACGUGGGUAACCUGCCUGUAAGACUGGGAUAACUCCGGGAAACCGGGGCUAAUACCGGAUGCUUGAUUGAACCGCAUGGUUCAAUUAUAAAAGGUGGCUUCGGCUACCACUUACAGAUGGACCCGCGGCGCAUUAGCUAGUUGGUGAGGUAACGGCUCACCAAGGCAACGAUGCGUAGCCGACCUGAGAGGGUGAUCGGCCACACUGGGACUGAGACACGGCCCAGACUCCUACGGGAGGCAGCAGUAGGGAAUCUUCCGCAAUGGACGAAAGUCUGACGGAGCAACGCCGCGUGAGUGAUGAAGGUUUUCGGAUCGUAAAACUCUGUUGUUAGGGAAGAACAAGUACCGUUCGAAUAGGGCGG
rnacentral:rRNA from 1 species